UUCACGGAGAGUUUGAUCCUGGCUCAGGACGAACGCUGGCGGCGUGCUUAACACAUGCAAGUCGAACGAUGAAGCCCUUCGGGGUGGAUUAGUGGCGAACGGGUGAGUAACACGUG
rnacentral:rRNA from 1 species